rnacentral:rRNA from 1 species
AGUGAACGCUGGCGGUAGGCCUAACACAUGCCAGUCGAACGGCAGCACAGUAAGAGCUUGCUCUUACGGGUGGCGAGUGGCGGACGGGUCAGGAAUACAUCGGAAUCUACUUUUUCGUGGGGGACAACGUAGGGAAACUUACGCUAAUACCGCAUACGACCUACGGGUGAAAGCAGGGGAGCUUCGGACCUUGUGCGUUUGCAUGAGCCGAUGUCGGAUUAGCUAGUGGGCGGGGUAAAGGCCCACCAAGGCGACGAUCCGUAGAUGGUGUGAGAGGCUGAUAGGCGACACUGGAGCUGAGACACGGACCAUGCUACUACGAGACGCAGCAGUGGGGAAUGUUAGGCAAUGGGCGCAAGCAUGGUACAGCCAUCGCGAGUCGGUGACGAAGACCCUCCGGUUGUGAAGCCCGUUUGUUGGUAAAGAAAAGCAGCAGGUUGAUACCCAGCGGUUCUGACGGUACCUAAAGAAUAAGCACCGGCUAACUUCGUG